UUUUGAGACUCCAGUGGGGAAGGAAGUGUGGACUCCGCACAGCACAAGGGAAGGCUUAGGUGUGCCUCGAGUUCCCAGCUGUGUGCUGGGUCCAUGGCAUGCGUCCCCUCUUCCAACCUCCCAGCUUCCAGAAGGUGGGGGGCAGGUCAGCCCCUCAGAGGGACUGCGAUGUCUGCGACACCAAGGAAGGGAGAAGGGUGUCUAUAAACAGGCUCACUGCCCAGGGACCUCUCAAGGGGUUCUUUGUGGGCCAAGAAAACGGGAAACACAUACACACACAGCUUUCUGAUUAUUUAAGUCCAUCUAAGCAUAUUUUGGAGGAAUGAAUGUACAUUGAAAUAAUCUUCCUAAAUAGAUUCCUUUAAGGGGAGUUUGUUCCAGCUGGAGAAGUUGUGCUCUCUGUAGAGGCUCUGAACUCCUCUGGCUACGACGACGGGAAUGCAGACAGGGAGGAGGAUGCGUGGGUGGUAGGGGGAGCAGCAGCGCCCCUACCUGCACAGAAGCUUGUCCAACCUCUGCACAAAGCGGACUCCCAGUGGUUGUUUUUGGAAGAUGCCAUUCGGUGAGGGAGCUCAAGCUGGAUGCAUGGGGUGACCACAGGGAGAGCAUCUGACAGCCCAGCUGGGUGCCUGGCUGAUAGCCCACACCAAGUACCAGGCAGGAUACCACAACAGUCCUGUGUUCUGCCAAACAAGCAACGACCAUGCUUCUCUAGCCAGGAAAAGGAAAGAAUGGCUUUUCCUCGUAGCACGGUGGUGUCGGGAGCAACUCCCUAUUCCCAAUAUUGGGUAAGAUAGGGUUGGAUUGGGCGCGAAAAGAGCUUAGCCCAGAGGGGAGACAUGGUGCAUUUGCCAGAAAUGGUGGGUGCCACUCUAAAGGUGGGUGAGGAGAAUCUUCUCUCCAACCGUCUUCGCCCCCUGGGCACAGUGCCAUCACCUGGGAUUUGCUGCCCCCCUGCACACCUGCCCCAGGAGCAGGAGGAGACUCAAUAGAUAGCAUCAGACUAGAGACUGGGGCUGGGAACAGGGCUGGGAGCCUAGAGCAGAAGCCAGGUCCAGAGAGGGUUAAGGGGAGAGGACAGUCCCCAAGGGAACCAGAAGGAGCCCCUGGAGGGCAGGAGGCAAGUGACCAUCACCAAGGAACCCGAGGAGGAGGCUCAGGAGCAGAGGCUUCGAGAGGCUGCAGGACUGGCUGUCAGCACCGUGUUAGCCAUUAGCCAUCAUGUCCUAGUCCCUUCACGGUUCCUAGGUCAGGGUCCUCCUGCUUCUGUGACGGUCACAGCAUGUGCUCCUGUGGUCCUCCUCUGGUUGCUCUUAGGACACAGGAGGCUUACAUCACUUCAGAGUGACCGCAAGCUGCUGGGUCAGCAAUGACCUGCCCCACCCCUUCCUGAACUCAGGUCCCCUGUGCCACCCACAUCAGUGUCACAGAAUAAGGAAGUUCUCUGCUGUGUCUUCCCACAAGCAUUGGUUUUGAUUUCCCUGCUCUGACAAUAGCCCUACAGGGAUGCUGUGGAGUGACAAUGAGGAAAGCGAGCCUUGGCCACACUUCAGUCACUUUGGGCAGCAGGGACCAGGAAGGCAGGAGGCCAGGGGACAGGCAGGAGGACAGCCCUGCAGAAAUGUGUGGGAAGCUGUGCUCCUGCCCCAAGUGAGCCCCUGAGUCCCAACGGCAGACCCCCCAUCCUUGGCCAGCUGUCUCAUGCAAGAGAGUCCACAUCCUGGGGACAGUCCCACCCUGGCCACCCGGACCAAGCACAGCUCCUCGCCCUCCCAGCCUGGCCGGUGCUCGCUGAGGUGGAAACCUCAGAAGAAGAAACUCAGCGGCCUCAUCUGCAGCGGGUUGGGCUGGGAGCCCAUCACGGAUGGGUUUACAAACCAGAAAUGUUAGACUACAAACAACAAUUUCACAUCUGUAAACCACUUCAUCUGAUGACAAACAUGGCCUCAGGCUCAAAUGUUUACAGCAAAUUGGGGCAAAAAUACUGUCUGGAGUUAAAUUCUCAGUAGCAAAUUGUACAAGCCGGAGAGCAGGGCAGCGCCUCCAGAGAGGAAAGAAGAGAGGGUGAGUGGGGCUCCCCCCCCAGCGCAGAGGGAGGCCAGGACCCUCCCUGGCCAAGGAUGGACAGGGCCAGCCACUGUCUGGGCCUUUGACUCCCACGAGCCAGCCCAGGGUAGGUUAGAUGUGAGUGGGAACGAUUUUACUCCAGCCUCUGGACCCAGGAUCUUCCAUAAGUGCCACAACCUGGAACAGCAGGGCACGCUCCCCUGGGAUUGCUGUGCCCCCUGACAGUGCCACCACCCUGCACACACACGUUCCUCUGUGCACUGGAGCCUGACUCUCUCAGGGCAGCAAAACCCAGUGACAACUGGGCACUUCCUGGUCCUCUUGAGGUCAGGCCAGGGCAGAGUGUGUAAGGCAUCCAUAAAACCUGGGGGUGACUCUGGGCUCAUACCAGGGCUGCAGUCCUCAGGGUGACUAGGAUAAGAGUGUGCACCGUCCCUGGGCCAGCUGGAGGGAAGGAAGGAGAUUGUGCCCUUUCCUGGGGAGUGACAGCCCCUCUCCAUUUCGGCCUCUGCAACACUGAGGGAAAAUGAAAGACCCCACAUUCCGCUGGAGUUUCCACCAGAGCCCAGGAAAGGUCCCCAGGAACAAGAAGGAGCUGGUUCCCCAUGUGGGCGGCAGGGAUGGGAGCAAGGAGAAUGGCCUCCUUCACAGGUGCAGGCUUCGCCCAAGAUUCACCCUGGUCCCCUGUAAGGGGGGGACAAGGCAAGUACCCAGCAGGGGUCCAGACUAUUGAGGGACAGAGCAGGGCAGAGGGACCCUGGGCAGGUGCUGGGCUGUGCAGCCCGGGUCACCCUGAGACCAGAAUGGAGGUUCCACUUGGGUCUGGAGUCCAUGCUGCUGUGUACGAGGUCCCGGCUCUGCCGCCACUGUGGGGCCCCGACCCCUACAGCCCAGAGGGACCACAGGCUCUCAGUUCCCAGCCCAGGUCCCAGCAGUGUCAUGAGGCUGUGUCCAGUCACCUCACCAGGACCCCCAGGGCUCCCAGGUCAUGGGCAAAGCUGUGAGUUGAGGCCCGGGGGACAGGAGCCUGGGCCCUUGGAAGGUGGGGUUCUGGGGGACGAGGGGCAGGUCUCUCUGGGAGCUGCCCUGUGACAUGACUAACUCUGGUGUUCUUUCACCAGGUGAGCCUCUCAUGCCUCCCCUACACUGGUCCCUUUGCCCAGAAUGACUGCACGUUUUUCAUCACUUGCUUCCAACAAGUGGAGUUAGGACUGUUAUCAAACCCAGAGACACAAGCAAAGGGCAGCUUUGACAAGCCGGUCCCUCCCGCACCCGCCCCUGCGUGGGAAAUGCCAAAGUCCUCUGCUCAGGGCGGGGCUGGGGUGCGCCCCGGAGUGCUCUGGGGCACCUGGAGGAGGUUUCUUUGUGUGAAGUCUCUGUCACUGUGUGUGGGUGUGUGUGUGUAUGUGUUUUGUGCAUGUGUUGUGUGUGUAUGUGUUGUGUGUGUUGUGUGUAUGUGUGUCUUGUGUGUGUUUGUGUGUUGUGUGUGUCUAGGCCAGGGAAACAGUGAGUCGUUUCUGCCCAGGAGCAGCUGCAUGUGAGGCCCGUUCUUGGUCUUAUAUGCGGCUUCUGAGGACUUUCCAGAAAUCGUGAGGUGGGAGCCGCCGCUGUAAUCAGGCAUAUAAGUCACACAUCCCAGAGUUGGGAACCAGCGCAGAAGGCCCAGGACAGACGCCAAGCUGAAGCCACAGCCCUGACACCUGCCGCCCUAGCCCUGGGCUCCGUCUCUGCCUCUGGAGCCUCCUGUCCCCGGGACUCAGCUCCCCUCCCCUCUGUGGCUGGGCUCUGCCUCCUGGGCUGCUCCUCUCCCCAGCCCUCUCUUUGGGCCCAGCCUAGACACCUGCCCCCUCCCUGGGCUCCUUCCCCCGACUGGGCCUGUCCUGGGUCUCAGCCAUGGCCUCCCCUGGGCUCCCUCUCUAGGGGGGUGGAAUCAGGAAGGGGUGGACAGAGGGCGGCUCCCGAGGGCCCCUGACUGCACGUUUGUGGUUCCUUUCCAACAGGGAGACUGGCUGCUGGCUGUCCUCUUACUGCUGGGCCUGUCCCUUCCAAUCAGCGCCCGGGGCUCUGUCCGCUACACAAGGAAAGACAUCUACACAUUUGCUAGUGUUUGUGGAAAC
rnacentral:lncRNA from 1 species